ACAAAACCAUGAAAAAUAAUCUGAAUUGAAAAAGAAAGAAUGGAUGAAGAAUGACACCUGAUAGCUUCUUCCUCACACACUGGACUUUUGAAGAUAUAUUUACAUUUUAUCCGAAUAUUAGAGGAGGCAGAGCACUUAUUUUGCACCCUAAUUUUGAUCAUUCAGUCUUUGUCCCCUGGUCAACACAUUUAAACCAUUUUGAGCCUGUGACUGUCCUUUGUGCAAAAUAUUUGGGGAAUAUGAAGCCCUCAGUUUCACCAACCUUUUGUUGAAUUUUAAGGAACUUUUCUUUCUAUUAGGCCAUCAUUUACUGCAGUUAUUAAUAGUAGUCUGUUUGCAGGAGUGUGUCCCAUUCAUUUUAAAAUUGCUGUUCUGCAACCCAUCCAUCCAUCCAUUUUCUGAGCUGCUUAUCCUCAUAAGGGUCACGGGAGUACUGGAGCCUAUCCCAGCGCUAAUCGGGCAGGAGGUGGGUUACACUCUCAACUGGCUGCCAGCCAAUCACAGGGCAUAUGGAGACAGACAACAGUCACAGUCAAAAUCACACCUAAGGGCAAUUUAGAGUCUACAUUUAAUGGAAGUUUUUGGGAUGUGGGAGAAAACUGGAGUGCAUGGAGAAAAUCCACGCAGGCACAGGGAGAACAUGUAAACUCCACACAGGCGGGAGUGGGAACUGAACCCCGGUCUUCAGAACUGUGAGGCCAACAUUCUUACCAGUUGCAACACCAUUCGCACUGUUAUCCAACCUUUGAUUUAAAAAAAGAAAAAAAACUGGGCCGGAUCCCACUGUUUUGGCAAAUUUCAGGCCGAUCAAAUAACUGCCUUUCCUCUGAACAAUAUUUGAAAAGAUUUUGCAUAGCCAGGUUGUGGAGUCGGUGAAAUAUUUAAUAAUUAUGUCUUUCCCCCAUUACUUUUUUAAGGUGUUUUAAUUGCAAUCUACAGCACUUUGGAAACGUUGUUUUUGUUUAAAUUUUGCUAUAUAAAUAAAGUGGAUUUGAUUGGAUAGGAGACAUGUUAUGGAAAGUUGGCUUUUUAUUUCCUGUAAACAUAUAGAUGGGACUUUGGAGUACCUGCCCACAUCUAAAAUGUCAAAUUAAACAAUCAUGUAAAUCCUUUGUGAUCUGCCUACACCUACCCACACAGGAAACUGCAAUAGAUCUUUGAAUAAGCACUCACUUUUUCAUAGUAGCUGCAUACUCUCUUCCCACCUGCCUAGCUCCUGUGGUAAUGUUAAUAAACACAUAUUUGACAAUGCCCCUACAAUACAGGAAGGUGGAGUGUGCAUUGGCUAAUUUGCAUGAAAGAGAAACAACUCUACCGAAAUCUAGUCAUUUUAACCAGGUAAGUGGAUUUCAGUGAACUGUAAUUCUUCAUCCUUUAUGUAUUUUUAAGUGAAGAAUGUCCUUUUAUUAGGGCACAUGGAAACUUUUUUAAUUUGCUCCUCCCAAUAUAUCUCCUUUAACAUGUCAUCUUUACUGGAGCAACAUUUUAUAUUCAACACUGGAUUCCAAAUGAGACAGCCCCUGUUGUUCACAUUAACACAGCAAAACAGACACAAAUGUGCAAGAAAAAGAUGCAAUAACAGAGGGGUCAUGAGGAAAAGAGUCAAGCAGAUUCACACAGAAUAACAUGAGCUGGUUUAAUGAUGGUGCCCCACCCCUCUUUGCAAAUCUAUGUCAACAGUUUGCACUCCACAACACAGCACAGCAGAGGCAACACCAACCACCACAAUUCAUUCAUUCAUUUACUUAUUUACUUAUUUAUUUUGCAGUGGGAGUGCUAGUGAAGACCAAACUUAACUUAACUUACCACUGGGUGCCUGUCACCCACCAUCAUUACACUUCAGUACAACAUCAUCACAUUGCUGAGGUUAGACUUUCCAGAAGGAGCGAGCAGGGAGAUGGUGGGGAAAAAGUGGGAGAAGAUUUUCACACUUGACAAAACAUUUGCUGAUGGCUUGGGAAGCUGCACCGUCCUAAAUGCUCCAACAGCAACAACUUUGAAGAAUGUUACUUUGAAUAUUUAUGUGGCAACUUAACGGUUAAUACUAGAGAGAGCGAGAGAGAAAGAGACAGAAAGAGCGAGAGAGAGCGAGAGAGAGAGAGAGAGAGAGAGAGAGGGAGAGAGAGAGAGAGAGAGAGAGAGAGAGAGAGAGAGAGAGAGAGAGAGAGAGAGAGAGAGAGAGAGAGAGAGAGAGAGAGAGAACGCUUGAUCUGUGUGUUUAUAUGGACAAUUGACCUUUUGCUAAGCUACACCAUGUAAAUGCAGAUUUUCCAGUAACAAUGCAACACAAAAUACCGGUAGAGGUAGGCAAUGGAGUUUUAUUAUCAGUAAAUUAAUGUUUUUUGUUGUUGUUGUUGUCAGUGCAUUAACCAAACUGCUAACAUUAUGCUACUAACGUGAGACCUCGUGAUGACACGUGGUGCAAGGUGGCUAAGGUCAUUAGUAUGGUGCUCCUGGAUGCAAUGUUUCAAUAGGCUUAUUACUUUUUGCGUUUACAUAAUUGUAAUACGAAGAGCAGUUAAUCUGAGAUUUAUGGUUGAAAUCUACGGUAACUCCAGUCUCCUUGUGUGGAGUUUUCUUGUUCUGCGUGACCUGCGUGGGCUUUUUCCCAGUCUUUUAAAAACAAGUGAGGUUCACCAAAGACUAUAUUGUACACAGUGUAGGUCUGAAUAUGCGUGUGAAUGUUAUUUGUCAAUGUGCGCCCUGCAAAUGAAUGUGGUGGAAAAGCCUAGAUGAACAUCCCACAAAUCAGUCAGUGUCUCUGAAGACUAAAUCAUGACAAGAUGUGUGGAAUAAAAUGGAACUAAAUGCUCUGCCAGAGGUUCAAAAUGUACACUAACUACUACGAUUGUUAAAAAGUGAUGCAUGGGGGUGACUUGCGGCAAUUCACCAUGCACUUUAAAGCCUUUCAAACUGGUUAUCUUACUUUAGUUUGCUAGUCGCUCACAAUGGUACCAGAGUACGAAAAGGGGAAACUGUUGCAAACAAGGAGGAGAACCAAAGACAACUAGUGGAAGGUUCUGAUGUGGGUGAUACGGGCAUCUGCCUAGGGUGGCAUGUUGAUGACUCAUUCAGAUAACUCACUGAUAACUUUGGAUGAGAGAUGCAGUAUAGUACAGUACACAGUUACACAGUAACCCUAACCCUAAUUGCAAAGACACAUAUAGUAAGCAAACAAAUAAUCAAACUCAUAUUCAGACAUAUGGACAAUUUAGUCUUCAAUUAACCUCCUGUGGAUAUUUUUGGGAAUGUGGGAGGGAACCUGAUUAUCUGGAGAAUGGUUGAUAAAAAUAAUCCUAGUUUACUUUUGUUUGUUUGAUAGUUCAAUUUAAAACCUUUAUGAAUUUUCAUUGACUAAAACUGGACUAAAAUUAUUAUUAUUUAGAAAUGACUAAAAUGUUACUGAGACUAAAAAGCAUUGUUUUUAAAAAAAAAAAAUCACAAUGGUACCUCUGCUGUCACUUUGAUAAGAUGAAUGUAGCCUUCUAAGGCUAUAUCCACAUCUAUACAUACCCAUCUUGAAUAUAAUUUUGACAAAAAUGGGAUUAAAUUUCUCAGACGUCAAAAGAAUCCUGUUGAAAGUGCGAUGGAUUUAGCGACAGCAACUAAGAGUGUAGCUGUUAGCAAAAGGUCAAUGAUAAUUGUGAGAUCUUAACCCUUAUGGUUGCCAUUGUGUUUCACUCUGCAUGGUAGUCAUUGACAGGAGUCCAUUCACAGGUUUUAGGUGAGGUGUUGGACACUGUGGAGAAGCAUUUUUGUUCAAGAAGAAGGACGGAAGUCAGAGAAGUUUUUAUACUUUUCAAGUGCCUCCUUAUAGAUUGUUAUAAUUCUGGAAAAAAAUGUCAUCUCUAUCUGAAAAAAAUCACUCACCAAUAUCCAUCUCACAAAGUUUAAGUGCUUAUGAAAUUAAUGAUGGAUAUUCUCUUUUCUGGUCCUUCAAACUUGACACAAGACACAAGGAAUAAGGAAAGAGGACAUUGGAAGCCUAAUAUCAACAACAAAAACAUCUUACAAGUCAGAGACAAGCCAAAACACAAUUCUUUGAAACAUCCCACAGCUCUGAGUGGUACUUAAAUAUGGCUCCAAUCAAUAAGUGUGUUAGUAAAUGUCUCAUCCAAUUAUUUCCUCAAAUCAUAUUUCAAAAUGUUGGAUCAGGCAAGAAAUUUGGUCCUGAAGUUAUUUUUGUCACACAUACAGUACAGAAGCCUCUCAGAGAAGGAAACCAAGCAUAAAAGCUUGAUUGAUUGGGAAGUAAAAGAAAGGCAUGUGUCCAUUUCAUAUGGACAGAUGCACAAUGUGUACUCUAUAUCACACUUAUGCAGUAGCAUACUGUGUAGAUGACAAUUAGAAGCUAAAUAGACGAGAUACUAACUUAAGUAUCAUUUCAUUAACAAUGUAACCUCUCCCAAUUGACAAUAGAAAGCAAAAUCAUCAGAUUUUAUGCCUAUCUCCUCAGCACAAAGUAUAUUCAUAUAUUCUAUUUUUAAUAUCCCAAAAUAUAGCUCAAUUGUCUAUAUGUAUGAUGAACGCAAGUAGUAAAAGUAUGAAGUAGGUGUUCAUAUUAUUUACAUGUAUUAAUUUUAUUGUUUGAAUACUGCAAUUUUGUCUUAACCAAGGUGUGGUUGCAGGACUGACUAACCCCUCUCACAGAAAAAGAAAUGCACUUACAUCCACAAUGAAGAAGUCCAGCCAACACCAAGCAUUGGUGAAGUACUUGACAAAGCCACAUCCUCAAAUGCCUUUGGGAGAAAGAGGAAACAAAUAUGUCACAUGCAAGCAUUAUUUAUAAUGUGAAAUGUGUCCGGCACCAUGGCCAGCCAUGAUUAACAUGGAGAAUUAAUUGCUGUGCUGUAUGGCUCCACUGCUGAGGAGGAUCAUAAAGAUGAUGAGAGUCUCAAACCAGUUGUGCUCCACGAUCAGGUAGCAGGUCUUCCUCAGGAACCACCAGCUCUUCCCCCACCCCAUGGUGAUGUCAACAUCGCAGCACUUAUAC